AGAUCCUGGUGCUUUCCCACAAGAAGUUGCUCAAUGUGGCUACCAGGCAGGACAAACAUAAGCCUGUGUCUGCAGACAGGAGGGCACCAACAAUGUGUCAAGCAACCUCAUUUGCAUCGUCACAAGCAUCUGCAGUGUGGAUAUAUGAUCAACAUGGUCGUUUGACAGUUGUGGAGCCCCUCCCACCAAUAAAGCUUUUGUAGGUGAAGAACCCGAAGGAUCUGAGGCUGUGCCAGUACAUGCUGGAGAAAUACUUGACUGGACUCGGGAGUAGGAGCCUAGGCAUUGGCCCACAGAUGUGCUGUUCUCCUUUGGAUACCCGUCGCAACAACACAAUCUUCUCUGUCUACUGGAGUUGUCUUGGUUGUAGAUUUGGAGAUCCUCAAUCUCUCAGCUUAGUUCUCUAAUGUUAAGUCAUAUCGACUCUUAGCAUAGUACUUUAUUUGCCACUGUUCUUUCUACCUUAAUUUUUCCAGAAUUUUCUAUGGGUAAGUUAUUCCAUCUAUAACACUUUAUGAUGUGUAAGCCCACACGAGGGUACCCAGAGCCCAUACACAAUGUACUCUUAUUUACCUGAGAAGUCCAAGCCAGUAACCCCAAUCUUAACUCAGUGGUGAGAAGGAACUUAAAACUUAGAACAGGACUUGUUUUCAUUCCUUUCUUGUUAGUAUCAUUCACAACUUCUGUAGAAGUUGGGAGUCCAGAAAGCAAAGGGUGGGGUUUUCUCACAUGAUCUUGACCCAUGUUGGGUUUUCUGUCUUCCAUCUCCACCUUUAACAUUUAAUAUACCACAUCUCUC
rnacentral:lncRNA from 1 species